GAAUCCCGUCUUUGGCACGGAUGCCCGGUGCUUCUGUGAUGCGCUCUCGAAGAGUCGAGUUGUUUGGGAAUGCAGCUCAAAAUGGGUGGUGAACUCCAUCUAAAGCUAAAUAUUGGCGAGAGACCGAUAGCGAACAAGUACCGUGAGGGAAAGAUGAAAAGCACUUUGGAAAGAGAGUGAAACAGUACGUGAAAUUGUUGAAAGGGAAACGCUUGAAGUCAGUCGCGUCGACCGAGACUCAACCUUGCCUUGGCUUGGUGUACUUCUCGGGCCGACGGGUCAGCGUCAAUUUUGCUCCUCGGAUAAUGGCAAGGGAAAGGUGGCACCUUUACGGGUGUGUUAUAGUCUCCUGUCGCAUGCGAGGGGUGGGAUUGAGGAACUCAGCGCGCACAUUGGUGUCGGGGCUUCUGCCCACGUCACGCGCUUAGGAUGCUGGCGUAAUGGCUUUAAACGACCCGUCUUGAAACACGGACCAAGGAGUCCAACACGCCCGCGAGUGUUCGGGUGGAAAACCCGUGCGCGUAAUGAAAGUGAAAGUUGGGACCUCUGUCGUGGAGGGCACCGACGCCCGGACCAGACCUUCUGUGACGGAUCUGCGGUAGAGCGUGCGUGUUGGGACCCGAAAGAUGGUGAACUAUGCCUGAAUAGGGUGAAGCCAGAGGAAACUCUGGUGGAGGCUCGUAGCGAUUCUGACGUGCAAAUCGAUCGUCGA
rnacentral:rRNA from 1 species